rnacentral:tRNA from 1 species
UUGGGUGAAGCUGAAGUGGAACAGCGCCGCACUGUGAAUGCGGAGGUUGCCGGUUCGAUCCCGGUCAUCCAACCCA